CUGUUUGGGCUGCAGCUUCCCCCUGGCUGCUGAGCUCCCCCGAGGACCUGCGCCUGCCGACUGCGCUGCGCCUCCGCGCUCAGCCCCUGCACCUCUGCUGCCCUGGAGCCUGCUGGGCUGUCACUCAGAGCAGCUCUGCACGGACCAUCAAUUGAUGAGGUGCUCCUCUGAGGUUUAAUUACAUGUAUUUUUUAAGCUGAGUGCCAGGGAUCCAGAUUGAGAGUAACAAUGCUCAUUGAGCUUGAAGUUUAAUGACCCAGCAGCUAAAUGCACCUAGAAACCUGGGAGUGACUCAGCUCUUGGCCAGGCAGGUCAGCAUUAAAGUUUAACAAACAAAGCCAAUGGUUUAGCUCAGCAAGCCUGCACCAGAGAACAUUGAUCCAGUGGCUGUUUGUUCAUGCUCCAAACCCAUCAAUACCCAGAGGUCUGCUGAACCCAAGGACGGGGCCGGAGUGGAACAAGCGGAGAGCUGCCAGCAACGCUCCCGAGGUCUACGUCACCUUGCAAGGGGUCAGCUGCAGAGGAAGCUCCCAGCUGUAGUGGCAAAGCCCUUGGGCCAGGUUUGCAGCGAGGCAGAUGGAGGCCAGACUGAGAAGCAGGGGAUCAGCUUUCUCACAGCCACAGAGCUGAAACACUGGAGAAGCACUAAACAUUGCCCUUCUCGACUUCCCCUGGCCCAAGGAGUUCCCAUGCCUGGAGGAGAGCUUCUGACCAGCACCCAGGAUGCUGCUGCGUUUCCUCACGCCUUGUGAAAGCACUUCAGAGGGAGGCAUAAAAGCUCAGCAGCGACUCAACAACUCCCUUUGCCUCCCACCCUCCCCACCCCCCAGAUGCUUACACAAUUGAAGAUGCAAUUGCACCUCUGGGCUGAGCUGCAGCCGAGCUCCUCAGAGGCC